rnacentral:rRNA from 1 species
AUUGAACGCUGGCGGCAGGCCCAACACAUGCAAGUCGGACGGUAGCACAGAGGAGCUUGCUCUUCGGGUGACGAGUGGCGGACGGGUGAGUAAUGUCUGGGAAACUGCCCGAUGGAGGGGGAUAACUACUGGAAACGGUAGCUAAUACCGCAUAACGUCGCAAGACCAAAGUGGGGGACCUUCGGGCCUCACACCAUCGGAUGUGACCAGAUGGGAUUAGCUGGUAGGCGGGGUGACGGCCCACCUAGGCGACGAUCCCUAGCCGGUCUGAGAGGAUGACCAGCCACACUGGAACUGAGACACGGUCCAGACUCCUACGGGAGGCAGCAGUGGGGAAUAUUGCACAAUGGGCGCAAGCCUGAUGCAGCCAUGCCGCGUGUAUGAAGAAGGCCUUCGGGUUGUAAAGUACUUUCAGCGGGGAGGAAGGUGCUGAGGUUAAUAAGCUCAGCAAUUGACGUUACCCGCAGAAGAAGCACCGGCUAACUCCGUGCCAGCAGCCGCAGUAA